UUGACAGGAUGUAACCAACAAAUAAGUGUAUAUAAAUAUAGGUUCAAAAGUGUUUAUGUAUUGUGUCAUUGAUUCAUAUAGAGACAAGCUGAGCGACUGACAUCAAAUACAAGGAACUUACUAAGACACCAAAGUAAGCUUAUUGCAUACAUAAAAGACAAUGAAGCUUUACCAGAAAGUCGUUGCUUUAAUUGUGAUUUUUGCCUUCUGUGGUGAUGUUGGCAAUCUGAUAAAUUCGGUAUGGACUGGACAAGAAAUGAUAUCACAAAACUCCGCUGUCUUGUUGCCUGGAGCCCAUGCAAUUUGGAGACACGUGGCAAGGGCAGUGUUAAGGGGUUUGUCAAAAAGAGGAAGGAAAAAGGGAAGUAGCGAAAAUACAAAAGGCAAGAGACCGAGCACCAAAGACAAACAUCAGAAAGGACAAAGAAGAAAGCAAAAAGACCAAGACCGGGCAAGUGGAAAGAAACAAAAAGGUGGAAAAGAUGGAAGAAGGAAGAGAGGAUGAAAAUAAGAUAAUAUUUUGUUACAUGUGUUAUUCCCUUUUUUAUAAAGGAUUAACACACAGUGUUUAGGUGACUGUCUUAGAGAUCAACUUGUACGAUUGCGAUUUCAACGUAAACUGUAUCUUUUUAAGCAAAAGUAGUGAAACAACAAGCUCAUCAAAAGAAUGUUGAUAUAGUAGAAGUGUCAAAAAUAAAAAAAAAAUGAAUAGGUUGCCUUUUUCUUUAUGAAGAAUACUAAUUAAGGGUAGAAACUGGUGUAUGAUUUUCAUUCACUUCGGAAAAGGUAUUUCAUAAGGACGUACACCAAAGACAAAGCUUUACUUUUUGUAAUCGUUGUACAUGUGUAGCAACGAACGUUGUUGUGUAUCAUUUUCCAAUCUGUGACGUUAUCUCGAAUUACAUAGCAAACUGUUUAACGUCUUUCAUAAACCUGAACUGAAUCUUCAUUGGGAAAAAAAUACGGAUGUAAAAUGAAUAUAAUACUUGAUUAUUUCUGUGCGUGCGAAGCAUCUUUUUGGAUUAAGGAUUUUCUCUACUCUUGUUUUUGGCUUUUUGUCAGAUAUUCGGAAUCCUCUAGUUUUAUCCAUGUAGUCCCACUAAAACGCUUGCCUGCUUACCUUUACUUUUUCUUUUCAUAAUUUUAUAACAUAUAGUUUAAAAAAAUAAUUUUUAAAAGCUUAUAAAAUCCUUAUUAUUUUUUGUAUAGCUUUUGAACGAAAAAAGGUUCCAAUGUAAAAUCUAGAGCGAAAUUUUCAAUUGCUCUUAUCUCAAAAACAAGAACAUCGACCUUUCAUUUCUGUUCUGCUUUUUAAGUUCCAUUAUUUAUAUAUAUCUCAAUUUAUAACAGUGUUUUCAAAAGCUUGAUAUUUUGAAACAUAGGAGCGAACAUCCUUAAUCUUUAUCAGGAACGCUUUAAACCAAACAGAAUGCAACAAAGUUUUAAGAGACCAACUAUGUUUUACUUUAACCAGGGUUGUAGGGGCAAUAAUAGAUCAUUUUGCUAAAUUUAUUUCUCAAGAAAAUAUAAACUCAUUAACAUUUAAGUACAUACGAUUUAGUUUUUAUCAAACCACUGGAGUUUUAAAAGAUCCGCUUGCAGUUCAUCAUGAAGCUUGGUUUAAGUUUAUCUUCGUUUGAAACAGAGAUAAUGCAAAUAUAAACAACGGACUGACGGACAUCAAACAGACGCAAGCUAUGUCAUUACGAAUUACAUAAACAUGUAUCAUAUUUCUGACACUCUAUAUACAUAUCUACACCUAUGAUAGACCGAAUAUAUCACUGUCAACUCGGCUUUAAAUUUCCCUACCGUUCUUUCAUGUGAUUAUUAAUGGUUUUUUGGUUUUAUUAAGACUCACCUGGACUGAACGUCAAUGCAUAUGUGAGCUAUUGCCGGUACUUGGCGUCUGUUGUCGUUAACAUUUUCCAAACAUCUUGUCCUCUGUAAGACUGCAACUAUCAGACCAUUUUGUUCAAUCUUUGCCACAAUCAUCUUACUAUAGUCAGUUUAAAAGAUCAAGACCCCGUUCACACUUGGACAUUUUGAUCGAUUUAUACUAGAUCGGUUCACUUUAGAUCGAUUUAAGCCAACCAAUGUGAACACAUGGUGAAUACUUUGAAUCGGUUUUAAGUAAAACACCAAAAACGGUAGUUUAGUUUAAAUUAGAAACAUAUAUAGACGAUCUAAAUUUAAAUGUGAACACAGAGAUCGAUCUAAAUUAGUACUAGAACAAAAAAGAUAAACACAACACGUUUGUCAACUACGUCAAUGCAACCACAGCUGUAACUUUACUCUUUAUAGACGUUUUUUUACGGUUAAUGACAAUUUAAUUUAGUUUUUUUUUAUUGGAUUGUAAAUAGCAUUAACACUCGGUCUAACUUGAUCUUUAAUAAAACAUGCACAUUUUGAA